rnacentral:pre_miRNA from 1 species
UAAUUGUGAUGAUGAUGAUGAUGGUGGUGGAGGUGGUAAUAUACAUUUAUAUACAUACAUACAUAUAUAUAAAUGUAUAUAUAAAUGUAUAUUACCACCACCAUCAUCAUCAUCAUCACUGUCA